rnacentral:tRNA from 1 species
GCCUGGGUGGCUCAGUCGGUUAAGCGUCCGACUUCAGCUCGGGUCAUGAUCUCACAGUCUGUGGGUUCGAGCCCCGUGUCAGGCU